AGCUGAUCACGUGAUUGAGCGGCAGACAAUUUAUCUCCCGUUCCCACCUUUUGUUUUGAAUUACUAAUAAGUACAAACUGAUGUUUAUUUGCCCGUAAAUGAAGGAGACAAAAAAUUGUGUGCCUGUUUGAAAUGCUGAAGAAUUUAAUAUAAAAGUAUGCAGUAAGAAAGUUCGUUAAUCAGUGUUGGUUACGAGAUACUACAAUCUCACCACACUUUCGGCCCUCAGUGGACCACGACCUUCGUUUUACAAUGGUCGUAGAUGGACCGCAACACCUUAAGAAAAUUAGACGUAGCCCUUACCCUGGAAAAGUCUGCUCAUCCUUGCUCUAAACACUAUUCAGCACUUCUAUGAUUCGACUUCCAGGCGAA